UACAUUUAUUAUUCCAGUUCGCGAGAAGCUUUUGCACCAUACGGCGGAGAAGCUGGUGUGGGACUUGGAACCUUCAAGUGAGGCAUGUCAGUAUGCCACUGCUAAAAGCCUUAUUCUAGGAAUUCUUUAUUUGAACUGAAGAUAUAUAUAGUUAAAAAUAGUUUCAAGCUUUUGUUCAAGUACAAUAGUAUCCAGAUGCAUAUAAUCUUGUUAUUAUUUUUCAGCACAACAGUCAGCACCAUAAAUCAGAAAGAUUCAGUUCAUAAAAACAUGGUUUAGUAAGUACCCCCUGUCUUUUGAAAUACAGGCGGUUUGACUUUUUGGCACACAUUUCUAAGUCUUUUAACCGUUUAGAUAAAAUUGUUAUUUUUAAAAUCUUCUUUCUCCGAAUUAUAAUAUCAAUCAUAUAUUUUUAUUCAAAAAAAUAAAAUUUCAAAAAUAAUAAUUUUAACUAUACAGUCAAAGGACUUCAAAAUGUGUGCCAAAAAGUCAAACGACUUAUAUUUUAAAACAGAGGGAGUAGCAAGUCAAAUAAUAAUAGUAGUAGCAAUGAACGAACACGAUUGGAUUGUCCGAGUGCGGGUCUAUCCUCAGUUGUCUAGCACAUCCGGGUUCGAUCAAUGCAUAAUCAAUUUAAUUUUGAAUUUUUUUCCUGUAAUUGGAAAAUUAAGAAUAAAAUAUUUAUUUAUAAUAAAAAAAUUAAAGGUAAAUUACAAAAAUGAACUGACAACACAUUUUACAUUACGAGUCCAAAAUAAACGUACUCAUCUAAUUCGGGAUAUAAGGAUCCUUUAUAAAUAACUGGUACAAAAAAGAAUAACAAAAUUAGAUUACUAAAAAUUUAUCUCAAACUAACUUCUAAUUAUAAGUCUUUAUUAUAAAAAAAUAUAAUUCACUUUAAAAUCCAACACAGAUUUUAACUCGUGACUUAAAAGCGGUGCCAAACAAGCUCAAAAAAGUUGUACCCGAUUACACAUAUACCAGCCCACAUCUUAACGGGCCCAAAACCUGACGCUGUUUCUCUAACCCAUUACUACACACGCCCACCCUCACCGUCCCCUCUGUUCUCUUGCUCUAAACCCUAGCAUCUCUCUUAAACCCUAAACGCCAAUCUCUCUCUCGAUCUCUCCCAAUCUCUCCAAUUCACAAAGAUGAAGAAAAUUGGAAAGAAGAGAAAGCACGCAGAGACAAUCCCAGAGCCAAAAAAAGAGCUCGUCGCUGAAGAAAGGCCCAAAAGAACACUUCUUGGUUGGAAAGACAAGCCUGUCGUUAACAAUGAAAAUGAAGCCACUUUCAAAAACAAGGAGAAGGUCCUCAUUACUUGUACUCGUCGCAUCAAUUAUAGGUACCCCUUUCUGUUAUUACCCUUGGAACGGAAAAAAUUAUUAAUUUAUCGAGCUUAAAAAUAUAUUGUUUUUGAGAUUUUUUAAUUUAUCGUGGGGUUGUUGUGAUUGUGAUGAUUAGGUAUAGGCAAUUGAUGUUGAAUGUGGUAUCACUAUUGCCUCAUUGUAAGAAAGAUAGCAAAGUUGAAUCGAAGUCGACUAAAGGAGCUACUUUGAAUGAGCUUGUUGAGCUCAAAAGCUGCUCUUCUUGUCUAUUUUUUGAGGUCAGUGUUCAAAGAUUGUUUCCUUUUGCUGUGUGUAGUUACUGGUUAAGCGAUGGGAGGGGUGUUAAUUUUAACAUGAUGGAGGCAAAAUCACAAAAACCAAGAAUGACAUGGGCACUGUGUUGUUAAACUUAAUAUAAUCGGAAAUGUUUUGUUAUCAAAGUUUUACUCCUUUAAGCAUAUUUUGUUCCUUAAUAUAGCUUGAAAGAAAUGAAUCUGUGAUGUUUAUAAAUAUGAAUACGGACCGAAACCUGAGAUUGUGACUCCUAACUAGAGGGUACCCGGCCGGAACUGGUUUUGAAGAUUUUCUUAUGCAGUUAUGCUUACAGUGUUAUACUUGUGUUCACUUUCUUGAUUCUCAGUGUCGGAAACACAAGGAUCUUUAUCUAUGGAUGACAAAGUCUCCCAGUGGUCCAUCUAUCAAGUUCUUGGUUAAUGCAGGUAAAAAAGAAAAUUUACCCUAGACUGAAUUUGUAACUCUUUUACUGUUCUCGAGAGNGUGGGACUUGGAACCUUCAAGUGAGGCAUGUCAGUAUGCCACUGCUAAAAGCCUUAUUCUAGGAAUUCUUUAUUUGAACUGAAGAUAUAUAUAGUUAAAAAUAGUUUCAAGCUUUUGUUCAAGUACAAUAGUAUCCAGAUGCAUAUAAUCUUGUUAUUAUUUUUCAGCACAACAGUCAGCACCAUAAAUCAGAAAGAUUCAGUUCAUAAAAACAUGGUUUAGUAAGUACCCCCUGUCUUUUGAAAUACAGGCGGUUUGACUUUUUG
rnacentral:lncRNA from 1 species